GUUCCCUUGAAAAGUACAUUUUCAAGGGUGAAAAAGCAUCUUCACUAGAUUGGGAUAUGAAAUUUAAGAUUGCAAUUGGAGUGGCUCGAGGAGUUGAGUAUUUGCACCGUGGUUGUGAUAUUCAGAUCUUGCAUUUUGACAUUAAACCUCACAAUAUACUUCUUGAUGAUAAGUUUGUCCCAAAAUUAUCAGAUUUUGGGUUGGCAAAAUUAUGCUCCAUAGAGAAGGACACUGUGACCAUGACUGCUGCUAGAGGAACCAUAGGCUAUGUUGCUCCAGAACUCAUCAAUAGAAGUAUUGGCGGAGUGUCUUAUAAGGCUGAUGUGUAUAGUUUUGGGAUGUUGUUGAUGGAAAUGGUUGGCUUAAACAGAGAGUUGAGGGGAAAGAAUGAUGUUUCAAGCAAGUAUUUUCCAGAUUGGAUAUAUGACCACUUUAACCAAGGCAAAGACAUUGAAAUUGAAAAAGCAGGGGAAAAGAAUGGUAAUGAUGAUGAGAAUGAGAGUAGAAAGAGUCUUGUACAGAAGAUGACAAUAGUUGCGCUAUGGUGUAUACAGAUAAGGCCAGAUGAUCGCCCAUCAAUGAAUAAAGUGUUGGAAAUGUUGGAAGCUGAUGUUGAACGUCUGCACAUUCCAGAGUUGGGAUCUCAAUCAGCGCAUGUGGUAGGAAACGAGGAAGACAGCUUGGGUACAAAUUCAACUGAUUCUGUAUCCCUGCUGCAUUAUUACGAUGGGAGCAACAUUGAAAUUACUAUUGCUUGAAUCUGUUUUCUCCUCUGUUUUUGCAUGAAAUAGGUUCCUCUUUUAUGUAUGAGUUUCAUAACCUUCAUUGCUUCAUCGAUCUCUUCUACAGUGAAAAAAGUAAUACAGUGAUCUCAAAUAUCAACUUAUGUGAUUGUGGUAGUUGUGUUUUGCUCACAAUCAUAUGUCAACUCAUCAUAAUUGAACUUGAUGCGAAUAAACUGUCCGGCUCCUCAAGUUUUGUGGUAAUACAACGAUAUAAUUUUCCUUUGACUUUUAUUUUGUGAUUAAAUGGUGAUAUUAAUUCGGGAGCCUAACAAUGUGCGAUAAUGAAGAUGGACCUUAAUUACGACUAGUCUUAUUUGGCGUCUGCAUUUCUUGUAAUUAUCUUUGAUUAGGUUUUUAUUCCCAAGAAGAGUUCUCAAACAUGAUCAGCCACAUUAAUGAAGCAAGUGAAGAAGCUGGAUAUAAAAAAAAAAUAAGAUAAAUAUGUUUCAAUUCAACGUCAAUAUUAUCCUAUAAUAUGGUAUCAUUACCGCAAAACUUUAAAGUUAUUUAAAAGUUUUGAUUCAAAAUAAAAUAGGAUUUAUUUAAAUGUUACCCAGAAGAAAGGAAAAACACACUCACACUCUAGCCCUCUAGGUGACUCGAACCCCCGACCUAUUGAUUGGAGGAGAAGCGUCUUACCAACAUACUGCGGUUCAUCGUCCACCAAAACUUUAAAGCAAUGCAAGUUGAUAAUGCAUGAAUCUCAUAUUAUCGUUGAUAUCCUAAUAACUGACAUUUCAUUCCUAAUCAAUUUUCUAGCUAGCUAAAUCCGAACACAAAAUAAUGAAGUUGUAAACUAAUUAAUAAAUUUUCAUGUUCAAGUCGUAUCUAAGAAAUUUCUAAAAUCAAGUUAUAAUAGCCAAAGGAAAAUUAAAGAAAAAAGUAAGGACGAUCAUUUUCUUGUUGUUUAGACUUUAAGUCAUAGAUCCUUAGUCUUGCUNUAAAAAAAAAAUGUUAAAAAAUUAUGAAAAAAUUACAAUAUAGAAAAAACAAUAAAACUAAUUAAAUCCUUUCAAACUUGAAUCAAAAUUUAUAAAUAAAUUGAUUUUUUAAAAAAAUUAACCUUAUUUUUGUCCGGACAAAUUUUGUCCAAAUAGCACUACUCAUAAAAAAAAAGAAGAUAAAGAGUAAAUAUGUUUCAAAUUCAACGUCAAUAUUAAUGCUAUCUAUUAAUAUGGGGUAGUUCAGUCUACCGCCAAAACUUUAAAGCUUUUAAAAAAAAUGUUACCCAGAAGAAAGGAUAAACGCACUCACACUCUAGCCCUCUAGGUGACUCGAACCCCCGACCUAUUGAUUGGAGGAGAAGCGUCUUACCAACAUACUGCGGUUCGUCCACCAAAACUUUAAAGCAAUGCAAGUUGAUAAUGAUUGAAUCUCAUAUUAUCGUUGAUAUCCUAAUAACUGACAUUUCAUUCCUAAUCAAUUUUCUAGCUAGCUAAAUCCGAACACAAAAUAAUGAAGUUGUAAACUAAUUAAUAAAUUUUCAUGUUCAAGUCGUAUCUAAGAAAUUUCUAAAAUCAAGUUAAUUAUAAUAGCCAAAAGAAAAUUAAAGAAAAAAGUAAGGACGAUCAUUUUCUUGUUGUUUAGACUUUAAGUCAUAGAUCCUUAGUCUUGCUUGCAUAUGAUCACCGCAUGCACUAUAGUCUUGUCGCCUUUCAAGAGGUGAAGUUUGAGUGGAAAAAACUGCAGCAAGAAUGAUUUCAUCUCUUUUAAUUCUCUCAAAGUACGAGCAAUUAUCAUAUUUCAAAAAAUAAAAUAAUUCAAACAUAAAAUAAUCAUCAAACACUCGAUUUUUAUAAAAUUGAUAGUUUAAGAAUAAUAUUAAAAAAGCAUAAAAAAAAGAGUGUUAUCACAUACCCCUCACUAAACAUAUAUAACAUAUUUGUUUAUAAUAAUUUUAUUAUUGUCAGGCCCUAUACACCACAGUCUGAAUCAUUUUACUCUUUUUGGAUACCCUAAUAUAACACACUUGAACGCCUGGACUCAAGCAGUCAAGCUUAUUUUGCUUCACAUGAACAUAAAAUUUGUUUGAAUUCCUCAUAUAAAAUAUGUUCUUAGACACUUCAAAGUAGAGUCCUUCUCAAAUUCUACUUCUUUACAGUACCAAUCAGAUGCUCCUAUUCAGAUAUAAAGAAGAUGACGAGAGGUUUUCGAGAAAAACUAGGCCAAGGAGGGUUCGGUUCUGUUUAUAAAGGAAAGCUCCGAAGUGGGCAUCAUGUAGCAGUCAAACUUCAUCAAUGAAAUUGGAACCAUUGGGAGGAUCCAUCCUGUGAAUGUUGUCAAGCUUGUUGGAUAUUGUGCUGAAAGGUCCAAACGCGCCCUCAUAUUCGAUUUCAUGCCCAAUGGCUCCCUUGAAAAGUACAUCUUCAACCGAGAAAAAGCAUCUUGUUAGAGUAUAGUUCUAUAUACUCUAAGUUUGUGUUGUCAUUGCAUAGAACAAAAUAUGUAUCUUCCGAUGUUUCUCAAAGAGUCUCUUGUUGAGUUGCUAUACUGAAGUUGCUUGUUUAUGAAGACACUAUUCCUUGCGGGUUUUUGGUCUCUUUUUUGGAAAGAUACCUUUAAGAUAUUGUAUUUGCAUGAAGAGUCCGUUUCUUUAGGGUGUCUUCGUACCUUAGGACUCGCCGCCUUAUGGAAACCCUACAUGGGCCCUGCAUCGGUUUGGUCUGGCAGUUCAUGGGCUCUCUACUUCUUGGCAAGGGUUUUCAUAUUUAAUGAGAUGUUGUCGAUCGUAGGCGGCUGCUGCUAUCUUUGUUAUUCUCAUUAGUUUGAGAGAGUAUUUUCGUGCAGUAGGAGAGCAUACAGUUCGUGUGCGAGUGUGCUGUUGAUUCCCGCUAGUUCUCUUUGUAAACGUGAGUUAGUUUCUGUUCUUGUUUACUCCAGCCUGUUGGAGUCUUUCAUGGUGUUGGUUUGAAUGUGGAUUGAGGUGCAGUCACGUUCUGUGAGUAAGUUCUAUCUUGCUCUUACUUUGUUCACGUAGGUGAAGGUUUGGGAAGAAAUAAAGGCUAGGAAGAUCGAGUCUUCGCGUGUAAGUCCUUUGUAUUUCUUAUCGUCACUAGUGAACUGUUUGAACUGGGCAUGGCCCCCCAGACGUAGGUGUGUUAUCACCGAACUGGGUAAUCAUUGUUGGUGUCAUGUGUUCUUUAUUUUUUGCACGAUUUUAAUUAAGUAUCUGCUUGAUCUGACUUUGUAUGUGCACGAGACGUAUGAACGUUGGAUAGGUACAAUUUCAAUUUCAUUGGAUUGGGAUAUAUGAAGUUCAAAAUUGCAGUUGAAGUGGCCCGAGGGAUUGAGUAUUUGCACCGUGGUUGUGAUAUACAAAUCUUACAUUUUGAUAUCAAACCUCACAAUAUACAUCUUGAUGAUAAGUUCGUCCCAAAAAUAUCAGAUUUUGAUGAAGUUCCUAAAAAAUUCCUUAAAGAACCCUUGCCAUAUUAAGAAAGGUGUGACAGUUGGAAUUUUUACAAUUCCUAAAGAAGGUGCUUAUGGUAUUCGGUCAACCCAAGAUUUGAUAAGAAAAGAAAUUUAUGCGCUAGACUUAUAAUGAAGCUAAUAUAUAAAUCACAAACAUACAAACCUAUCAACUAGCCCUAGAUAUACGAGUCUCCCACUCAAGAUAUGAUAAACUAGAUGUUGAGUUUGAUGUUGGAAUAAUACAGCUUAACACUCCUGCGAUCAGUACUUGUAUUUUGCCUUGUAUGAACUGGUACUGAAUGAAGUGGCCUUCAACCCUUUUUAUAGAUGCAAAGUAUACUUGAAAAGCAAGGAUUUGAAAGGUGAAAACGUGGUUGAAGAUCGUGGAUUUGAUAUUUACUUGAAGUCAAAAUUUGGUUGUUGGAUAAGCACAUAACCAACAUCCCUACAAUUUUGGAAGACAUGGUCUUUGGUUGUUUUCUCCUUUCUUCUUCCUCUCUAUGCAAAUCUGAAAAUUUCUAUAUUAAAUCUCUUAAUAUUUAAUAAAUGAAGAAGAUAAAAUAUAAAGAAUUUAUUCGAAAAUAAAUAGUUUUUACUAUCCAACUUGUUUCUAUAAAGUCAAGUCAUGACAACUAAAAUUAAUAAAGAAAUAGAAGUAAAAACUUUAAAGAAUGCCGUUUUGUUGAGACUUCGUCAGAUCGUGCAUAUGACCGGUGCACUCUAGUCUUAGCUUGUUGCCUUUUAAAAUGUGAAGUUUGUAGUGGAAAAAAAUAUCUGACUACAUUUUUGGAUGAUGUGGAGAUUUUGCAUGUAAUUUAAAUUAUCGGACUUAUUAUAAUAUUCCACACAAGUCUUGUUUGGUGUCUGGUUUGAAGACUGAGUCAUGUCGACCGAAUUAUAUAUACAAUGCUUUCUCAUAUACAGCUCCUCCAAAAAGAGUAGAAUAUGUAUAUACUGCUUCUGGAAAAUCAAUUGUUAUCUAAUUUUGUUAAUCAUAAUUCCAUCACAUAGCUAACUUUAAACCAUGAUUACUAAAAACCUCAUCUUCCUCACCGCUUCAUCUCUCUUGAUUCUCUCACUACUUAAUAAUUUGUUUCAAACUUGUAAUGCCAACUCUAGUUGCAGUCCUUCUGCGUGUGGCAUAUUUCCCAAUAUCAGCUCCCCUUUCCGCCUCAAGGGCGAUCCAAAGAAGUGCGGUGAUGGCAGAUUUGAGUUAGCCUGCGAAAACAAUGUGACCUCCAUCUCUCUCAACUCUCACAAAUACUAUGUCAAAGCCAUCAACUACGACAACUCCACCAUCAGGCUGGUCGAUGCUUCCUUAAACAAUGACGACAUCUGCUCUUUUCCCACCGUCUCUCUAUAUGCCUACAACUUCCCCAUUACUAACUUCCCCCGUCUUCCUUUCUAUGUUAUGAGUUACUCUAGCUCAUCUUCUAUUUAUUUUAUAAGCUGCCCAAAUCCGUUGACCAAUAUUUCUUCCCUUUUUACUGAUAUCACUACUCAGUGUGCCUCUAAUUCAUCCCAUCCCAGAUAUGCUUAUAUCAAGGUCGGCCACAUGACGGUCUCAGAGUUACCAUAUUCGUGCGGUGUAGAGGUGAUAGUGAUGACAUCGUGGCAAGAAUUUAAGGAUUUGAACAACGUUUCACUUUCAGAAAUCCACCAUUCUCUCUUGUAUGGAUUUGAACUCGACUUCUGUACCCCGUCCUUGUGCCAACUAUCAUCCACAAAGUCAAACUGGGGUAACAAUGCGAUAUCCGCUAAGUAUUAUAUUUGUAUUAUAUAUAUAUAUAUAUAUACUAAUUUUGUUUUCUGGUAAAUGCGAGAAUUUCAAAGAUUAUUCGGAAGUAAUAGUAAGGCGCUCACUCCUAUCUUUCAACCAAUUUUGUUUUCAUAAGAGAUCAUGACUUUGAAUUUUAAUUAACAUAUCUAUUAUCCUCAUUACUAAUUAUCAUAUGCGUAUAUAUCUGCAGGGCUUUUACUAAUUCCUCUCGCUCUUCUAGGUGCCUACUACUGAACUCAAUUAUUUCUUAAUAAAUAAGAAUUCAACGAUUAAUUUGUCUUCUUUAUCUAUUUUCUUACAACAAUGAAGUCAGAGGAGUGGAGAGUACUAAGACCGAAAGAAAUCUAAUUUUGACCCCCCCAAAAAAAAUGCCAGUUUUUAUAAUUGCAGGGGUAAGUCUCCCUCUGACGAUCAUCAUCGGAAUCAUCGGCGUAUUAGUACUCUCAUUUGCUGCCUUUUCGGUCCCGCUAGACGGCGGUAAGAUUCUUUGAUUUCAUUUUCACCUGAGUUUGACUUUCGACGAAAUUAGAGCUUAGAUGGUAGCCAGAAGUUCACCUGAUGUUGGUCUAACUUUUGAUGAUGAAGAGUAUUUAGAAUCUCGAUCGGAGGACUAAGAAGAUAAACACUACAAAAAAUAUUUUUAUUAGUGACAUGAGGCUUGAUAGCUAAUAUUCGUGUCACAAAAAAUAGUGGCGUUUGAAAGUGCAACUAUUAGCGAUUAGCUACAUCAUCAAAUAUCACUAAUUUUUAUGACACACAUAAUAGGUACUAAGUCUUAUUUCAUUGACUUAUUAGUGGAAUUUUUUUUAUAGUGAAAAAUUAACAUAUUUGACUUAAUUUCGACUGUCAACUAAACUCUAAUUUCGUCGAAAGUCAUAGUUACAUCGAAAAUUGCAACAAAAAAUAAAUUCAUGUAUUUUUUAAUUUAAUUGAAAGUUCAUAUGAAAAAUCUAAUUUUUUUUCCAACGUUCGUAUAUUUUUUUGCCAUAAUCCUUUUUAUUUUUAGUCUCACUAUACAUCUUUCACUCUUUCUACUCUUUUUUUCAAAUAUUAAUUCCUUUUUUUUUACCAUGUAAUUGUGUACUUGCAGUGCCUUACAUAUUCAGUGACUACUUAUUCCUUGGAAGGGUACGCUCAUAUUUCUCAUUCAUUGGUACGCUCAAAUUUAUGUUAUAUUUAUUAUUUCAAAUUACAAUUUGCAUAAGUUAUAUUAUUUCAUUUUCUAUGUCUAUAUCCUCUUCUACCCACGCUUCUCCGGAAGAAGGAUUUUUUUUUUUCCUUUUCCCGUACAAAUUAGUAUAUCGACACAAAUGGUUGCGUUUAGGCAUAAUAGAUAGAACUGAUGGUAGGUUAAUGCCACUUUGAUAAUAAUUAAAAAAAAAUGAAAAAAGAAAAGGACGCAAUCUAUGCAGUAUAAACAAACAUACAGGGUGCGUUCACUUUGAUGGAUGGGAAAAUGUGGGAUAAUAAAAAUUUAUACCUUUAAAUAUCUCAUUUCUUAUCCCACAUUUUACACAAAAGAGAAACUCACCAUGUUUCCUUCCUUAUUUUCACUUCAAGGAGGGAUAAUAUUAUACCUCCAUUUUCUUAGGUAUAAUAUUAUCCCUCCUUGAAGUGAAAAUAAGGAAGAAAAAAUGGUGAGCUUCUCUUUUAAGGAGACAUUUAAAGCUAUAAAUUUUGGUUAUCCCUCUAUUUAGAGGGAUAAAAAGCAAACACACCCACAAUGUUUUUUGUUCUAGCUACAAAUAAAUACUUGAUGCGAAAGAUUUCAUAUUUGAGUUUAUUUUUGGGCGAUCUCGAUGUCUCUAAAUAAUUUAAUGUUGCAAUUACCAGAAAAAGAAUAUACUCAUAUUUUUAUAUAAACUAGCAGAAAGAGUGUACAUUGUACGCGUAACUAAUGUUAUUUUAUUUAAUAAAAAUAAAGAUAAAAAUAUUAUUAUUUAUUAUAUCUAAAUUUUCAAUUAGCAAUUUGGGCUAUUUGAUUUUAGAACUAUCGUAAAACCUCUUUAAAAUAAUAUUCAAAUAACUUAAUAAAUUAUGUAAACUAAUAAUUUAUCUGGUCUCGACUUAGGUCAAUUUAAAAUAUCAUCAAUUCUAAUAAAUAACAAAAUAAUAAUUUUUUAGAGUAUCCCUUUAUAAAUAUAUAGGUCUUCUUAAUAUUAUAAAUUAAAAUUGUUAUGGUAUAACUCGUUAAAAUAUGAACCUAUUGUGUUGAUACAUGUAUUUAUUUAAUUUAAAUAUUAUCUCUCAUUUGUUUUUACACAUUAUAACUUUAUUUAAAAUUAUAUUUCUGAAAUUAAAAAGCACUCUAUAAAAUAAAUAAAAAAUAUUAAUUUAUCGAUAUAUUAAUAUCUCUAAGUUAAUAAAUUUCUAGUUUUUCAUUGAUCUAGUUAAGUAGAUAGAUCUAUAGGAUAUAUCUGUUUCAGAAUUCUAAAAAGAAUUCUAGAUAUAAGAUAUAUAUCAAAUAGAUUUGGGUUAAUUGCCUUUAAAUUCAUAAACUUUAGUCAAAUUCCAUUUUUUUUCCACAAUCUUUGAACUUGUGAUUUAAAACCAUGAACUAUCAAUAUUUCUGAAAUUUCUCAUGAGUCGUAUUAUUCAUUUUCAUUGUUGAACCAAACACUCAAUAAAAGUAACACUUAUUGUUAUCAUUCCUCCAUUUAAUUUGAUUCCCAUUCCUUUUCCAUUCUUCUAUUUGAACCAAACGAGUACUAAAUCUAUUUGAUAUAUAUCUGUAGCUAUUUGAUAAGGCAUAUAAGUAAAAUCUAUAUUCAAUCAAAUAUAUUUAUAAGAAUAUAUAUUGAUUCAUUAAUUUCACCUUCUAUUCUACUACAUAUUUUAAAGAAUAUAUUAAUUUAUAAUUUGAAAAAGCUAUACAUGAAUAUCUAUAUUAUUAGAUUUACAUAAAAAUUCUAUAUGAUUUCAUUUUCCAUUACUAAAUUAAAAAAUAUAUUUGUAGUUUCGCUUCACUUUUCUAUUAAAAGAAGAAGAAUUAGAUCCCAAAAAUACUUUAACAAUAUAUAAAUUAAUUCAUUAAAUAUACAUUAAAAAUCUAUAUGAUUUUAUCUUCAAUCAUAUACUCCGGUAGUUAAAAAACUAUCUUUAAAAACACUAUCUUUGAUUUUAUAUUAAUCAUAAAAAUAAUAGUUUUUCAUCUUUUUUAUAUUAAUUACUAUACAAUAAAAUUUUUACAAUUAUUAAACUCUAAUAAUUUGAUGUAAAGUUCAUGAAUUAUGUGCAAUGCAAACAGUCCCCGGUAGUUAAUAAAAAUAAAAAUAAGUUAAUCCUUGUAUCUUGAUGACAUUUUAGUUUACAAAUUUUGUUUAAUUUUAUAAUAUUAAAGUAGAUAAUAGAUUAUAUCAAAAAUGCUGCCGGUUCUAUUCAUAAUUGAUAACAAUAUUCAUAUAACAUAGACAUUUAAAACAUGAUUUAACAAUCAAAACCCUCACACAAUUCCUUUUUAAUUGUGAAAAUGGAACUCUAGAUAAACUUGAAUGGAACCUAGAGUUUAAUCUAACCAGUCUCAUUGCGUGUAUAUCUGCAGCGCUUCUCGUGAGUUGUGUGGCCAUUAUAGGUGCGCACUUAAUUUAUGUCUCACAUAACUAUUUAACAUUAAUUUUGUGUUAUUAGUUAAUGGAUAAUAAUAUUGCUACAGUUCUAAUUUUGUCAAAAACACUCCAGUUUUGUUAUCUGCAGCAAUAAACCCCCUUCUCACGAUCAUCACCGGAUUUGGCGGUGUAUUACUAUUACUAGUCUCAUUUAUUUUGAUACACAACUGUAAGAAUCUUUACAUUAACGGUGCGUUCUCUUUGGUUGUAAAUUUAUCAUGGAAAAAAGAAUGAUAAAUAAAAUUUCAUCUUUUAAAUCAUUAUUUUCUUUUCCCUCAUUUCAUACUUUAACCUUUACUCAUUUCACAUUUUCACUAGAAAGGAGGGAUAAUAUUAUCACACCAGAUACUAUUAUCUCACUAUUUUUGGAGGGAUAAUAUUAUUCUUCCUUUGUAGUGUAAAUGUAAAAUGAGUAAAGGUCAAAUAGGAAAUAAGAAAAAAGAAAUAAAGGAUUUAAAGGGUAAAAUUUUAUUUAUCAUUCAUUUUUCAUGAUAAAUUUAUAACCAAAGAGAAUGCACCCUAAUUCGUCAAUUGUCUUUUAAUUAUCUCUCGUUUUACUCUUCAAUUUGUCAAAUAUUCAUCUUUGUUUAUUACUUGUAGGGUCCAUCUCCACAACGAACGAAGCUGCUAGAUUCCUAUUCACUGGUGCGUUCUUUACCAUUUCACAUUAUAAUUUGUAUCAAUUUUUUGUUCAUUUCUACGUUUAUCAGUCUAGUCGGCUUACCAUACUUUUCUAAAACAAGGAUUUGUUUUCUCCUUCUUACAAUUUAGUGUAUCGACACAUGUUUUUUGGGCUUACUGAAAUAUAAGAACACUCGAGUAAUUUAAUACUCCUUCCGUCCACUAAUUCAAUGUCUACUUUCCUUUUUAGUAUGUCCACUAACUCAAGGCUUAUCUAUUUUUAAUAAGUUUUUAUUCAUAUUUUAAUUGGUGAAUCCCAAUAAACAAUAGGAGUACAUUUUUUCUUCACUCAACUAAUAAACAAUACACUUUGUGGAUCCCUUUCUCCACUCAACCAAUAAAUAAUACAUUUUGUGGGUCCAUUUCUCCACUCAACUAAUAAAAUUACAUUUUUUCUUAAAACCCGUGUUUUUUCAUGUAGGCCUUGAAUUCAAAGACGGAGAGAGUAGUUAUUUUAUUUUCUGCAAUUUAAUUUAGACAAUAAUAUAAUUUAGACAUAACAUUAUUAUAUAUAUAUAUAUAUAAAGAAAAAAGAAAAAAUAUCAUAUAAACAAGAGAGUAGGAAGAAAAUCUUUUAAGUAUUACUCCAUGAUAAAAAUGGAAAAGCCAAACAAACUUUUUAGAUAAGAAUAUCGCUAACAUCAUAAUUAACAUAAACACAAAUACUCGCACUCGAUUUUCUUUCCAAAAUGACAUUCAUUCGGAAAAUGACACUUGAACAUUUCUAAAUGACACUACUUAAACAUACAAAUGACACUUGAAGAUCUUCAAAUGUCAUUUGUAUGUUGAAGUAGUGUAAUUCAGAAAUCAGUUGCACGGUGCAGCCGGUUGCACGGAAGAGUGCCUCUAACAUAAAAUAGUAUAAUGAAUAUUUCAAAAUUGGAGAACUACCAAUUAAUUUAUCUUUGUUUUGUCUUAUUUUUCCACCUCAUCCCAGGCAUAAUAUCAGGGAUAGUCAUCUCUUUACCAAAGAUCAUCAUUGGUCCUUUUGUAGUAUGGUUUUUGAUCUACAAAUUCCGAAGAAGGCGCUUGUCGGUGUACGAGGAAAUAGAAGGCUUCCUAAAAAGUGACAACAAACUCUCGCCAAUCAGGUACUCAUAUUCAGACAUAAAGAAGAUGACGAGAGGUUUUCGAGAAAAACUAGGCGAAGGAGGGUUCGGUUCUGUUUACAAAGGAAAGCUUCGAAGUGGGCAUGAUGUAGCAGUCAAAUUACUGGGAAAGGCUACAACGAAUGGACAAGACUUUAUCAAUGAAAUUGGUACCAUUGGGAGGAUCCAUCAUGUGAAUGUUGUCAAGCUUGUUGGAUAUUGUGUUGAAAGGUCCAAACGCGCCCUCAUAUUCGAUUUCAUGCCCAAUGGCUCUCUUGAAAAGUACAUCUUCAACCGAGAAAAAGCAUCUUCAUUGGAUUGGGAUAUGAAAUUUAAAAUUGCAGUUGAAGUGGCCCGAGGGAUUAAGUAUUUGCAUUGUGGUUGCGAUAUACAAAUCUUACAUUUUGAUAUCAAACCUCACAAUAUACUUCUUGAUGAUAAGUUUGUCCCAAAAAUAUCGGAUUUUGGGUUGGCAAAAUUAUGCUCCAUAGAGAAAGACACUGUGACCAUGACUGCUGCUAGAGGAACUAUAGGCUAUGUUGCUCC
rnacentral:lncRNA from 1 species